rnacentral:rRNA from 1 species
UACGUAGGGGGCAAGCGUUAUCCGGAUUUACUGGGUGUAAAGGGAGCGUAGACGGCAGAGCAAGUCUGAAGUGAAAGCUCGCGGCCCAACUGCGGGACUGCUUUGGAAACUGCCCGGCUAGAGUGCUGGAGAGGUAAGCGGAAUUCCUAGUGUAGCGGUGAAAUGCGUAGAUAUUAGGAGGAACACCAGUGGCGAAGGCGGCUUACUGGACAGUAACUGACGUUGAGGCUCGAAAGCGUGGGGAGCAAACAGG